rnacentral:lncRNA from 1 species
ACUCUUGGCUGUGAGAAGAUGAAGACUCUAUCAGUGCGGCUUCUAGUGUGAGGUGGCUGAAGAGGUAGCUGAAGCUUCCACAAGCACUCCAUGAAGAUGGUGAGUUCAGAAGGUGUUGCAAAGGAGUAAUGGUGCAGAUCAUGAAGCUAUCCAUCCAAGCUUGUUCCUGUGAGAGUCUCAAGCUUGAGGGGGAGUGUUGAAGCUUACAUGAUCUGAGAGUACUUGGUGGUUAUUCAAGAAGAGGAGCAGAUCAGUUAUGAAGCAUAAUGAAGGAUGAAGAAGCGAUCUCCAAUGCGGCCUCUAGAGUGAGGUGAUUGGUACUACAGUC